UACGUAGGGUCCGAGCGUUGUCCGGAAUUACUGGGCGUAAAGAGCUCGUAGGUGGUUUGUCGCGUUGUUCGUGAAAACUCACAGCUCAACUCCGGGCCUGCAGUCGAUACGGGCAAACUGGAGUGUUGCAGGGGAGACUGGAAUUCCUGGUGUAGCGGUGAAAUGCGCAGAUAUCAGGAGGAACACCGGUGGCGAAGGCGGGUCUCUGGGCCGAUACUGACGCUGAGGAGCGAAAGCGUGGGGAGCGAACAGG
rnacentral:rRNA from 1 species